AGAGUUUGAUCCUGGCUCAGAACGAACGCUGGCGGCAUGCCUAACACAUGCAAGUCGAACGAGACCUUCGGGUCUAGUGGCGCACGGGUGCGUAACGCGUGGGAAUCUGCCCUUCGGUUCGGAAUAACACAGAGAAAUUUGUGCUAAUACCGGAUGAUGACUUCGGUCCAAAGAUUUAUCGCCGAGGGAUGAGCCCGCGUAGGAUUAGCUUGUUGGUGGGGUAAUGGCCUACCAAGGCGACGAUCCUUAGCUGGUCUGAGAGGAUGAUCAGCCACACUGGGACUGAGACACGGCCCAGACUCCUACGGGAGGCAGCAGUGGGGAAUAUUGGACAAUGGGCGCAAGCCUGAUCCAGCAAUGCCGCGUGAGUGAUGAAGGCCUUAGGGUUGUAAAGCUCUUUUACCCGGGAUGAUAAUGAC
rnacentral:rRNA from 1 species